AUACGUAGGAACCAAGCGUUGUCCGGAAUUACUGGGUGUAAAGGGUGCGCAGGCGGAUUUGUGCGUCAAGGGUUAAAUACCUCGGCUCAACCGAGGAAAUGCCUUUGAUACGGCAAGUCUUGAGUACGAGAGAGGAUGGUAGAAUUCCUGGUGUAGCGGUGAAAUGCGUAGAUAUCAGGAGGAAUACCCGUGGCGAAGGCGGCCAUCUGGCUCGUUACUGACGCUCAGGCACGAAAGCGUGGGGAGCAAACAGGAUUAGAAACCCCAGUAGUCC
rnacentral:rRNA from 1 species